AGAUGGCGACCGGCGCACGGGUGAGUAACACGUAUCCAACCUGCCGAUAACUGGGGAUAGCCUUUCGAAAGAAAGAUUAAUACCCGAUGGUAUAAUCAGACCGCAUGGUUUGAUUAUUAAAGAAUUUCGGUUAUCGAUGGGGAUGCGUUCCAUUAGGCAGUUGGUGAGGUAACGGCUCACCAAACCUUCGGUGGAUAGGGGUUCUGAGAGGAAGGUCCCCCACAUUGGAACUGAGACACGGUCCAA
rnacentral:rRNA from 1 species